UGUGUAGAGGCGAGAAAGAUACCGUGUUGUGUCUUGGUAAAUUUCUCGCCUUUCACAAU
ensembl:miRNA mdo-mir-7398a-1 mdo-mir-7398a-1